ACCAGCAGACGAGUCCCAAAUAGGGUGAAACGUACUUUCUGGAU
rfam:Schistosoma mattheei strain Denwood, Zambia genome assembly, scaffold: SMTD_scaffold0000985